GGAGAGGUUGCAAAUUUAGAAUCGAGUUCAAGUUCUCCUAGCAACAUGCACACCCCCGCUGCUGGCUGGUGUAAUCCAAGUACCAAACACGUGCAGCUGGGGCAGUGCGUGUUGCUAGGAGAACAAUGACUCUCUUGCUUCCAGAGCUGGCUGGAUUUGAUGAUGAGACAUCGUCUGCUACAGGAUUUGCAGGGAAACAUGGAGUAUCACUUUGGGCCUAUUUUCUAAGAGAAUGGCCUGAAGAGAAUAGAUUCAAGUUUUCUCCCAGAAAAGCCUCUGCUUCAGGAGCAGGUAG
rnacentral:lncRNA from 1 species